rnacentral:rRNA from 1 species
UACGUAGGGGGCUAGCGUUGUCCGGAAUCAUUGGGCGUAAAGAGCGUGUAGGCGGUCCGGUAAGUCCGCUGUGAAAGUCGGGGGCUCAACCCUCGAAUGCCGGUGGAUACUGUCGGGCUAGAGUGCGGAAGAGGCGAGUGGAAUUCCUGGUGUAGCGGUGAAAUGCGCAGAUACCAGGAGGAACACCCAUUGCGAAGGCAGCUCGCUGGGACGUAACUGACGCUGAGACGCGAAAGCGUGGGGAGCAAACAGG